rnacentral:miRNA from 1 species
GUCCUUCCAGUCGGCGAGGCAUGUACCUCGUUGACUGGAAGGGUUGCCUUCCAGCCGGCAAGGCAUGUACCUCGUCGACUGGAAGGGU